rnacentral:misc_RNA from 1 species
CCAUCAGUUAGAAAUUGAAAUAUUGUGUUCGUGGUUCAUGAAUUCCUAUUAGGUUUAUAAACAUUUAGUGUGUGCAUUUCAUUUUGAGCUGGUCUGAGAGUGUGUACGCAGGAGAAAUGGGACUAAUGGACUCUUAUGCUUGUUUGGAGCUCUAAAGUUGUCCUAGGCAAAAACAAAUUUUUGGGACAGCAUUUUUCAUGAUAAUGCAAUGCCAGGUUUCUUUGACCAAUUGAUUGCUGAUAUCCAAAUGUACCUAAAAUUAUGCUUCCAAUGUUGCAUGCACAUAAACUGCAGUGGAAGUACAGAAACAAAUGGUGUCGUUUUGAAUUUUUGUAGGAUGAAGACUAUUCAAGCAGCGAACAUAUGGGUAGUCUGCUUCUGAGACUAUAUCUAUUCGGGUAACUUGAUGAUCUGGUGAUAUAGUAUAUAGCUCAUUCCAUGAAUUCUAUAUUUCAAUGCAUUUAUAAAACAUGGGUAGUUUGCUUCUGAGACUAAAUCUU